rnacentral:rRNA from 1 species
UGGGGAAUAUUGCACAAUGGGGGAAACCCUGAUGCAGCGACGCCGCGUGAGCGAAGAAGGUUUUCGAAUCGUAAAGCUCUGUCCUAUGGGAAGAUAAUGACGGUACCAUAGGAGGAAGCCCCGGCUAACUACGUGCCAGCAGCCGCGGUAAUACGUAGGGGGCAAGCGUUGUCCGGAAUCACUGGGCGUAAAGGGUUCGCAGGCGGAAAUGCAAGUCAGUUGUGAAAGGCAGAGGCUCAACCUCUGUAAGCAAUUGAAACUGUAUUUCUUGAGAUGUGGAGAGGCAAGUGGAAUUCCUAGUGUAGCGGAGAAAUGCGUAGAUAUUAGGAAGAAUACCGGUGGCGAAGGCGACUUGCUGGACACAAACUGACGCUGAGGAACGAAAGCGUGGGUAGCAAACAGG